rnacentral:rRNA from 1 species
UACGUAGGGUGCAAGCGUUAAUCGGAAUUACUGGGCGUAAAGCGUGCGUAGGUGGUCGUUUAAGUCUGUUGUGAAAGCCCUGGGCUCAACCUGGGAACUGCAGUGGAAACUGGACGACUAGAGUGUGGUAGAGGGUAGCGGAAUUCCCGGUGUAGCAGUGAAGUGCGUAGAGAUCGGGAGGAACAUCCAUGGCGAAGGCAGCUACCUGGACCAACACUGACACUGAGGCACGAAAGCGUGGGGAGCAAACAGG